rnacentral:rRNA from 1 species
AUGUUUCCUACUGUUUAUCACCUCAUUGAGUUGGAAUUGCUACUACCAAUAGUGACGACAAUAAUUGAAAGGGUCUUCUCAUCAAUGAUAAUCAUCCAGACUGAGUUGCGCAUCAAGAUGACAGAUGGUUGGCUUAAUGACUUAAUGGUUUGUUAUAUUGAGCGAGAGAUCUUCAAAAGAGCUGAUAUUGGUAAAAUUAAGGAAGAUUUUCAGGAUGAGCGUAAGCCAUUGCCAUUGCCUGGGUCUUCUAGACGCCAUUGA